UUUUUUUUUUUUUUUUUUUUUUUUGUGGUCUAUUUUUCCUGGAAGAUUUGGCUUCUCAGGAAUCAUUUGGGAUUGGUUAAGCUGACGCUAAAAUCCCAGAGUCUCCUUCCCAGAUCCGCGUCCAUGGCCAUUGAGCUUGCUUUAGCUAUGUUAUUGUCGCCAAAAUAUUCGCCGCUUAUUCCUCUGACUUGCGGAUGCAAUGCUACAUAGCAUGUUGUUGAUGCUCCCUGGUACCAGGUCAGUGGAGGGAGUAACAAAUAGUUAACACCUUUUCUGGUGACACCCUUAACAAAUUAACAUAAACGUGAGCCAAUAUGAUUUUAGUACGAGGCAUAACUUACUUGUGGAAUGUUUUUUAGCACAUAUUUUCCAACAGUACUUGCAAGGCCUGCAUCAGAUCAAAAAAAAAAAAAAAGCAGAUACAUGAGAAAGACCCCACAUUUUUGAGAUGUUUACAUCAAGACAAGAUCUCCACUGAUGAUUUCAAGACAUAAAAUAACAUUCUCCAGCCAGGAUUUAGGGUUUAAGGCAUAAAAUACCAUCCCCUAACAACGUCAUCAACAUCACGUGUUUGAUCGUAGCAGGGCCAGUAGGGCUUGGUGUACCAAACAGAAAUUCAAGGAACACCUGGCCCUUCUGACAACUGCCAAUGCAAGAAGCAUUAAUACCAAGCUGGGUUUAUUUGCUAUGAAGGAUUGACAAGGUAGCUUGCUACUAUAAAUUUGAAGCUAAUUGAGCUUUUUUAAAGUAUGCAUAAACAAGGCAUAAUACAAUAAAACAAAACCACCAUUCAGAAGGCUAAUGCAGACCCAUACAGUUAAAUAAGUUCGGGAUUACCUCCUAAAAUGCCAACAUGACGGAAAAGGUUGGUUGUAAUUGCUCCAGGAUGAAGCGAGUUGGCAGUUAUGUCUGCAUCAUCUUCCUGCUAAGAAACAAAUCAUCAAACUGUUUUAUGGAAGAGAUUGAUUGAUUUAGUUAUUGUGACAAUUUACAGAAGAACAUCUCACAUAAAUGACAAUGUUCAUUCAAUUAAGUUAACCAUAAUUGCUAUUGCUUUUGAAAAGUCCCCCUUUUCUCUGAAGCACUUGUACUGCCUGUAGCAAAGUUGAAUGGGUGUAAUUGUACAAUUGAGAUUGUCAUGGUUCUUAAAGGGCCCAAAUUAUGCGACAAGAAGCAAGCAAUGGAUUCCAAGAUUGAAGGAAUAGAAACAUCGGCUGCAGUUAAGACACCAUGUCGCUGAUCCUUUCUUGUUUAGUCUUCCCACAUACUUCAUCUUGUAGUUGGUGGCAAGAAGCUCAUGACCAAAUGAAUCCAAGCUUGGGCGUUGAAUUAUAGUAUUACACGGCAUGAAUUAGUACCUACCUAAAAUCAAUAGAAUUGAAAACUAACAGAUGCCUUCUUUUGGAGACCUAGAAUCCAUCUCCACUUCUGGUUGUUAGAUAGAAGUAUUAUUCGUGCUACUAAGAUAACAAUGAACAGAGAAAUCUCGCACAGGAGACAUAUCAUGUUAUAGUGGCCAACCAUUUCUGCCAAUGAGAAGGAGACGAGCUAUGAGUAAGAAAUGCAUCUUAUAAGGUUCUAAAGCCCUAUCAUGUUCAGUCCUUGAUUUGCCAGGGAAAGAAACACUAAAAUUUGCCAGGGAUGCACAAAAUUUUGAAGUGCCUAAAUUAAGUAAGGCGAGUGUAAACAUCCUCAAGAUAUGAACUGGAUAAAAGACGAUAUCUACAGCAACCAAUGGGCGAAGAAAAUUCCUAGGGGCUUAAAUUCAGAAAAAUGCUAGAAGUUUCAACUUUCAAGGGAAUCAAAGUCAGAAUCUACAACCUUUAACCGUCUGGCAAGCUCAUUAGCAUGCAGCACAUUAGAAAGCUUUGAUUGACCAUAAGCAAAGAAGCUGCUGUACCUGCAGCAUAAAAGUGUGAGAACAUGUGAGGGGUUUUUCAAGAAUGAUGGUCAAAAAACCUCCCCGCACUACCUCCCUACACACUAUCCCUUAUUAAUUCUACACAAAUUUCAUAAACAAUUUUUUCUUUUUCUAAUUGAGGGAGCUCUCUAAAAAUCUUACCGUUUCUACAUGAUAAUGUCACAGGCAAGGCGUGGAGGGCUAUCCCCUCACUUUCCCAUAAUCCUGCCUCUCCUUCUUCACAAUUACCUUCUAGAAAAUGACAGUUAUGAUUUUUUCCUACACUACCUGUAAAAUAGUUCUAACUUAAUACUUUGACAGGUUUGCUUUAUGUUUAUCCCCAUUUACACGAGAAAAUUGCAUGCCAUUUAUUUGUGUAUUACUAUUUUGUAGUGCAUGAGAUGUACUCAGUAACUCCCUAAGAAGAAUCUCCAAUUUUGUACUUCCUAAGUCUACUUGUUGGCAUGAUGAGCAGUUCGAGACAUGGGCAUGAAUGGUUUUUACUUUUGACAGGUAGGCGGCUGUUUGGACUCUCAAGAGUACCCAAAAAUCCAAGUCUCAACCACCACAUGACAAAACACACGCACCAUUUUAUAAAAUAAGGAGAUAGAAGAAACAGAUUCUCAGUAUGGUAGUACCUUCAAGCUACAGACAUGAGUUUGAAGCUUUGGCAUUAAAAAAAAAAAAAAAAAAAAAACAAUGAUAAACUAUGGUUUGAGAGUCUAGAACAGAAUAACAUAUAGAAAUGUUAACACAAUUAAGCACUGGCAACCACAAGCUUACCCUUCUUGGUCGUUGAUUUUAUCAAAACGCACACCUUCACGAUAGGGAUAGCGGUGAGCUUCUGAUGCAACAAUCACGAUCCUUCCCUCUCUCUUAGUUUGAUGACAUGUUUUCUUCAUUUUGUCCAACAACAAGUUAGUCAAAAGAAAAUGACCUGUAUAACAGAUACAAAACUAAAGAUGGUUAUGAAGACAAAGUGUUGAUGUCAACAAGAACUAUGCUGAGUUCCAAUCCAAUUACUGCUAAAGAAUUUGAACAUACAAAAUUUGUGAAUGCAAUUCAACUAGCUGCAGUUAACGGUUUGUCCCAUAAAGAAUAGGACCUACCUAACUGAUUUGUGGCAAACUGCAAUUCAAUGUUGUCCUUGGAUAGCUUGAAUGGGGUCGCCAUGACUCCAGCAUUAUUACUUGACAUAGAGAAGACAAAGACCAAUCCCAGGAGUCAAAAACAAAAAAAGAAUAAACAAAUAAGCAAACUAUAAGAAAAUAAAAUUUACAAAAUCGCAAAAAAAUACCAGGCACUUAAUAAAGAGACAAGAUGAGAGGAGACAAAGUUAGAAGUCUGAUUGCUGUAUAGGUAGUGUUUAUUUACAUUAGGAUAUUCAAGGGACGGCCAGACGACUUAAACUCCUUUGCAAAAUUUCUCACAGAUGCAAGUGAACUGAGGUCUAACUCCGAGACAUCAACUUUAGCUUCUGGGGUUUCCUUAACAAUUGCAUCUUUAACCUCUUGGCCAGCAGCCAUGUUUCUGACCCCCAUUAUAACACUGACACCACGCAGUGCAAGAACACGAGCUGUUUCAGCACCAAUACCACUUGAAGCCCCUGCAAUUUUGUUUGUUAUUACACUACGUCAUUCCAUGCGUUCAAAGUUCAAACUGAUACUCUUAAUCAAUCAUAAAGGCCCACAGCCAUGAACAAGAAAACGAAAACGAAAGUACUGAUGUACUAGACGAGUAUAAACAAAUUGAAGGGCAACAAAACUAGUAGACUAUUUUCGGAGCAGUAUUCACUUCUCCACAAAAGAGAAGAAGAAUAAACGAAUAAAGAAAUCUAAGGACCCGAAAAAUUUAAUAAAAAAAAAUGUGGACAGAAAGGUUCAAUUGAGAAGGAACGGAGAGAUAAGAGCAAGUGGAGGACCUGUGACAAUGGCAGUGAGACCAGAGCCAUCAAUCCCCUGCGUGACUUCCUCAGCAGUGGAAGAGGAUGAGAACCCAGAUGGCCCUUUUCUUUUGAAAAGCCACAUCUUUGUUCAAUCGUAGUAAUUAGCGAAGCUGCAGAAAUUCCAAGAAGAACAAGAAGACGAGGGGGAGUUGCAGGCCUUAUGUACCCAUGAAAAGGUUCCUAAUCUUUAAUCACAUACCGUGAUGAAUUGAUGAUGGACGCCUCUGUGGCUCUGUCCAUGCUACCGUAGGAUGCCCAACGUGGGCGAGACACGCGUUAGGACAUUAAUUACAUUAAGGAAUUAUGGCCACCUACGUAGAAUAGUUCCGACGAGUAUGAAUAAACGGACCGAAGAAAAUAAUAAUAAUAAAAAUAAAAAUCAAUAGCAUUUUUUACUCUAAGUAAAAUUUUUUACUUUAACAUUUUCCUUAGCUUCAAAUGACAAAUAGCAUGUAUUGUCAUCUGUAAAUUUUUUUUUUGUAUAUAGGAUGUUAUAAAUUAAAUAAAUGGUUUGACAAACCAAUAAACAUCAAUGUAUGACUACCUUAAAAAUGUAAAAAUGAUAAAUUUUUUCCCUCAAUCUUGUCAUACAAAUAAAAAGUUUUACUUAUUUUCUUGUUACAAAGGGUUUGAGCAAGGAUACAAUACUUUUAAAUUAUACAAAAACAAUAAUGACUUUCAUUUGCAAAUAUAUUGUGUAUAUCUUAUCUUUUCAUGCAAAAUUACUAUCUUUUCAAAUUAAUUACUUCCAACUCUGCGAAAGCAAUUAGUGCAAAUAAUACUUACACAUUUUAAGCAUUAAUAUUUACAUAACUAUACUACAUACCAUUCACUAGUUCAACACUUCUUGAAGCUUUCCUAAAUAAUAUUAUACAGUUGACAAUUAUUUUUAAUCCUUUUAAAAUUUAGUAUAGACCAUAGAAGUUGUCUUUCCAAAUUAUAAAGACUUGUACAAAAAUCCACAAUAGUUUUAAUUGUCAAAAGGUUCUAACACAUUUAUUACGAUUUUCAAGUUCAAAAAACAAAUAAAAGUCCAUCAAUUUCUUUUUAACAUCUUAUGCGAACCACACUACAAGUCCUUAUCUUUACAAAUUAUAGAGAGUUCUACAAAACAAUCAAAUAAAAAUUGCUUAAAAAUUCAACAGACAAAAAAUAAUCACUAAUUGCAUGUAAUUGUAAAGACAAGGGCCAAUGCUACCGCUAAAUAUGAAUGGGGUGAAUAGCAUUUCACAACCACCAGCCUUUGGUGGCCACCACCUAGCUUGGUAGGGUGGGAGUCAAGACCAAAAUGUCACAUUUAAGUGGCUUGCUUCAAAAAAUCCAGGCAGGUGUGUUGUGCACCCGUUCGGUCCGGUAGUUCAGUUCCCUCCAGAUUAUUCCUGGACUUCCUUAGGUCCACCCCCUCCCCCUUAGUGUAGAAUAGAUUAGGUUAUACAACAGUUGUUGUCUCCGGAGAAAAAAAAAGAAUAGCAUUUCGCUAAAAAUUAAUGAAUGGGGCUGAACGCGAUUUGUAAAGUAUGUUACUUGUUUAUUGAUCUUGUUAUUAAGGACAUAGGUGUAAAAUUGGUGUGUAAUUUUCACAAGUCCUCGAGUGACACAGGCAAAUUGAAUACGUGUAAGUGUAACAAAAUUUGGAUGCUGGAGAUUAGGCAGCGCAGGUUGUAGCUGUGAUGGAAAAGUGUCACAUGUCAAUACACUAGAAAAUUGUGAUACUGUAAUGAAGAAAAUGCUUUUACAUUUGUUUGUAGUUGGUAGGGAUAGUUUCGAUUGAAUCUGAUAAUAAAGAUGUUGAGAAAAGAAAACUACUUUGGCGUGUACGAAAUCAUUGAAAAAAAAAAAUGGUUUGCAUGCACAAGAUGUAACUUUGUAUGCACACGGUGUAAUUCACUUUCAAUAACGUGUAAUUAUAAAAUAAAAUUUUGCGAUUUUCACAUAUAGUGUGACAAACGAUAUACAAGAUACAAUCUAAAUCUUAUAUAUUUUUUUUGUCAAAUCUUGGGCAUCAACCUUGUACUAAUAUGUGCACAACUCGCAGUGUCCUCAUAAUUUUUCUAAACAUCUUUUUAAAAAAGAAAGUAGACUUUUCUACGCAAACAAUUAUUAAACAGAACUUAUUUUCUUCCCACUUUAUUAUUAUACCAUGGUCGAAUUUAUCAGCAAUAUAUACGUCCAUUGUUGUAGAACUGGUUUUUCAGGAAUCAUCUCCAUUUUGCUUUACCAGGUUCAAGCUAAACUCCCAGAGUCUGCUAGCCAAAUCUGCGUCCAUGGCCUUUGAGCUAGCUUUGGCUAUGUUGUUGUUCCGAAAAUAUGCUCCGCUAAUUCCCUUGACUUGCGGAUGCAAUGCUGCAUAGCAGGUUGUCGAAGCUCCCUGGAACGUCCAAGUUAAAAGGGGUGCCGGGAAAAAAAAACGAAGAAAUAUUAAUUGGUCGGAAGGCUCUUGCCCUGAAAUGGCAUUAUCAUCUGCAGCAUUCGUAUAGUCAACUAAAAACAUACUAACAUCCUCUAGAAGAAUCAUACAAGUAACCUUUUCGAUUUGUCCCUUAUCCCGGAUAAACUUCAACAUUUUACUACUAGUUUUACAGCACCAAAACAUGAAUUGUGAGCGAAAAUUGGAUGCAAAACUUACUUGUUGAAGAGUCUUAAACACAAAUUUGUCGAGCUUAUUGGCAAGACCUGCAUCACGCAUAAUAAUGCAUGAGAAUAGACCCAGGGGGUCUGGAGAGGGUAACGUAGCCAAUUCCCGUAAAUUCGAAUAAAUAGGAGCACAAGAUUUCUUGGAAAUUUUUGACGAAUUAAGAAUGGAUCCGCGGGUAGAUGUCUGCAACAUCAUCAGCCGUUUCUUAUAGUUAGGCUAUUGAAAUUAAUCACGUCUGAGAAAUUCUAGCCAGCCUUGUCCGUGGCUAUCAGAAUCCACAAAAUGGGCACCAUAUGAUGUACGCAUUUCAUUUUCAAGUUCGACUUUAAAAGGGAUUCAUUCAGUGAAAGUAGUAGUUUGCGGAUACCUAUACAGCAGCCUCGACGAUGGAAAACAUUGCUGAUAAUCACUCCUGGAUGAACAGAGUUGGCGGUUAUUUCCACCCCUUCUUCCUGUCCAACAAACAAAUGUACAAAGUACUUGAGUUUCUUACGACGGAAAUCGGUUUGCCAACUACGGGACAUGUUGCCAACAUUAAAGACAAGCAAUUUAGUUUGUAACGAAAAAGUGAGCGGAAUAGCAACAACUCUGCGCGGAUCCUAAUUGUGUGAGUAGUGUAUUAUUUUGCUGUGGUGGAGUAUUUCUGUAUUUUUUUUCUAUGCAUCCGGUGCCUCCUUUUCAUUUUUUACAGGGCUAAAAGCUUCUACCAGUUAAACUUUUUUUUGUCGCAAUAAUAACAUUUGUAUAACCUAAUCUAGCCUGAUAUAAGAAGAAGAGGAGCCAACGGAAAAAUCCCGUCAGAGAAAGUCACAAUUAAGUGAUAGUUAUAAUUAAAUGGCAAGAUAGGAAACAAGAAUUGAACCUUUAACUUCCCACUCCAGUGAGAGGCUGUUGGCUCUAUCAGUUAAACAUUGACUUGGUUUCACGUUGGGCACGAAACAUAGCAUAGGAUAGGCGGGCCGAUCGAGCUAUAUGCACCAAGAAAGAUGUGCCUUGAGGACUUGAAAAAGGCAUUAUUUUGAUUUAGUUAAGGUGGAGUAGGAAUGUAGGGAUCUAAACAAAGGCAGUACGUUUAAUUGUUGUUAGGUGUAUAGGAUCUAUGUGUUUUGUGGCUUGCCAGAAGUGUGUAAGUGGCCGUAUUAAUGUAACAGUGAGCUGGGUUCUGAGGGAAGCCAUCAUAGCAAAGGUACCUGUAUCCCAUCAAUUGGCUGAUCACUUGCUACAAUUAGGUACUACUAUACUUCUUUUAAAAAAAAAUUUUUUUGAUUGCACCUUUGUCGAAUAAAAUCUCUUCUAGGUGUCCAACAAUACAAAGUUCUGUGUACAUCCUACAUGGAUUUAUGCACCGAACUGAAUACCUUAAAGCGUCUGGCUAGCUCAUAGGAGUGCAGUAGAUUAGCCAGCUUUGAUUGACAAUAAGCAAAGAAGCUACUGUAUCUGCAGUAAGGCAGUAAAUGAGGAGAAGAAAAAAGUUCCAACUGCUUUUAAAUGUGAUGUAAGCUGAAAUUAUCCAAGGUUCUCGGGCGCAUAUAAUCAAUAACUUCAAAAAAAAUUCGGCGUUAAUGGGAAUUGAAAACAUACCCUUUUUCAUCACUGAUCCUAUCGAAACGAAUACCUUCACGAUAUGUGUAGCGGUGAGCAUCUGAUGAAACGUUUACUAUCCUCCCCUCUUUCUUACUUUUGUAAUACGUUUUCUUCAUGGUGUCCAGCAACAGGUUCGUUAAAAGAAAAUGACCUGCAUUUCACAAUGACCAGACCAGUUAAUGUCUUAACCAAAGAUUCAAUGGAGAAAAAGGAAUUACCUAAAUGAUUCGUGGCAAACUGUAAUUCUAUGUUGUCCUGGGAUAGCUUGAAAGGGGUACCCAUGAUUCCUGCAUUAUUACUUGAGAAUAAAGAACAUGCUUCAAAGAUCAGAAAUUCUUGAUAAUACAAAACAUUUUUGAAUAAUCUGCUGCUCUGCUUACAUUAGGAUAUUCAAGGGAUGACCCAACGAAUUAAACUCUGCUGCAAAUCUUCUUACAGAUGCCAUUGAACUAAGAUCCAACUCCAUGACAUCGAUCUUGGCUUCAGGGAUUUCCUUCACAAUGGCUUCUCUAACCUUUUGGCCUGCAGCCAUGUUUCUGACUGCAAUUGUGACAUGGACUCCACGCAGUGCAAGAACACGGGCCGUUUCAGUACCAAUACCACUUGAUGCACCUGCAAUAAUUUGCCAAUUGCCACCAUCAUCAAAUGAUUUGCUUGUUUGAAGAAUUUCAUUACAUCCAAUUAAUCCCACGUUUUGAUAUUCAUGUUAUUUUUAUUGGUGCUCAGGCUUUGGCGUAGUGGUCAAGCUGAAGUUUAAGGACGCAGAGGUCCAGGAUUUAUUUGCUCAUGCAUUUCAUGAGCAAUGUUGCUAGGCAUUCUAGCUAGCAAAAGAUAUCGGCAUCCACUUCCCACAGACUACGUAACCCAGAACUCCGAUCAUGAACUACGUGAAACCCGCGGAGCUUUAAAUAGAAAUGUUGGAGCAUGAGGUUACCAUUGCGAAGUGCAAUAUGAAUUAAUGAACUGAGUUCAAGAAAGAAAAAAAGACAAAAAGAUGGGAAGAUCACCAGUGACAAUGGCAGUGAGACCAGAGGCGUCAAUGCCCUCAGUGACUUCAUCCGCGGUGGAAGAGGAUGAAAAUCCAGACGACCCUUUUGUGUUGCACAAGCACAUCUUUUCCUUCAAGUUCAAGAUGCUUUCUUUUUCUAACUUACUUUGUCUUUGUUCAAGGGGGAAGGAGAACAAGGGGGGAAUUGCACUAACCCCAGUACGUAGUAGUCAUUGCAGGAUGAUCAAUACUUGAUGUUCUUUGGCGAUGGGCCAAAUGGCAAAUGUGUGCGCUCCUGUAAUCUUCAAUAUUUAAAGAGAUUGUGGCUAAUUUUCUUUUCUGGUGAACUUGACGGAACAAUCAUAUGCAUGUCUAAUAAGCUUCAAAAAAAAAAAAAAAAAUUGUUGAUUGACAGAUAGUGGUUGUUUUAGUCGCAUUGUCAGCUCUGUAUUAUACAAAUGGAUACGUGUAUCAUUUUGGAUUUGGCAAUUGAUGGAUGGACAGCAAUCUGGAAUCGGGCUGCCCAUUCCAUCCUGAUGGGGUUACAACUAGAAGUGGCAAAAUGGAUUCAUAUCCACCAAUCCAUCCAUAUAAACCAACCUUAAAUGGAUUUGGAUGAUCCAUAUAAAUUCAAUGGUUCUAAAUGGAUAACCAUUUAAAUCCAAUUAUGUUGGUGGAUUUAAAUGGAUUAUCCAUCUUAUCCAUAUACAUCCAUUUAACUUAAAAAAUAGAAAACACAUUUAUAAAAAUGUGAGAUAAAAUCUUGUGGGACCAUCUAUUCUUUUCUUCAUAACUUCCUCAUAUGUCAAAUUAAUUUUGUGGGACCACCUAUUCUUUCCUUCAUAACUUCCUCACAUGCCAAGUUGCCAAUAACAUUAAUUGCAUUUUAUUUGCUUCUAGUUCCUAGACUUCUUCCAUCCUUUUCAAAAUUAUAUUUUAGUCUCUACUCUUGUUUUUUUUUAAUUAAACUCUCAUGUAGUAAUGAUUGCAAACAUUUAUAUUCUUAAGUAAAGAAAAAGCGAGAAUGCAUCAUGUAAUGUCAAAAUAAUUUUUAUUUUUUUAAUUCUUUUAUUUAUAAAAAGAAUUUUUCUAACGAGUGUCCCCGCAACAUUGGUUAAGAUAUGUAAAUGACAACUUUUUUUUUUUUUUCCAAAUCCUCAUACUUGCAAUCCCUCUCCCCUUAUCACCUAACCCAACUAUCCAAAAAAAAAAGACACAUAAUUUAUUAAGUAAUAUAAGGUAGCUUGUGUAUCAAUGGUAUAAUAAGGAGUUUCAUACAUUUUUAAGUACUACGUGCACAUAUGAUGAAAAUAUUUUACUUGUCAAAUAACAUAAGAUUUCUUGUUAGAACUGCACUUUUAUUCAAGACAUCACUCUUGAACAGGAGUGCAAAAAAUUGGAAACGUAAACUUCUUUUCACUGUAAAGCCGUAUUCAAUUCAUUCAAAAGUUAUAAAAAUGUAGCCAAGUUCUUAAUUGUUCAUUACUUUACAAAAUGAUACUUAAAGUAAUGACGAAAGAUUAAAUUGACCACAGCAGUUAAAUUUUCUUGGAACUAAACUAAUUUUAUGAAGUACUGAAAUAGAGUAGUAGUACAAGCAUUUGUUAUUACCAAAAGAUUUUAGGUGAUUUAAGAAUAGAACUUUGGGGAUCUGUAUUUUUUGGAAAAAAAACAUUUGGAUCUUAAAUUUAGGAUUUGGGAGAGUAAAUGGAUAAAUGGAUGGAUCAUGGUUUACACUAUCCAUUUAAAUGACAUCCAUUUAGAUCCAUUUAUUAAAUGGUUUUAAUUGGAUUGGAUCAAUUUGAUCCACUAUCCAUUUAACUAAAACCAUUUAUCAACCAUAUAUCCAUUUUGCCACUUCUAGUUACAACUUAAAAUUGCAGAUUAAAUGGCGGUGUUAAAGUCUUCCACCACGAUCGACGUCGCCUUCGCUGAAGCAUAAGAACAUGUGGAUAUUGGGAGAACCACAGGGCACCAACAUCCCGCUUCUCAAACCAAAAAUGGACUAUAAUUAGCAGUAGUUAGAUGUCAAUCGUCCAGUCUGAAGUCAACAGAGUAAGCUAAUUGAACUUGUGCUACUAAUAAAUUCUGGAGUUUGAUUGAAGUUGAAUUAAAACGCUUGCUUGCUUGCUUGCGUGCUUAACUGGCAUCAGUCUCUGUUGAUAGGAAAGACAGACGUUCUUCGUUGGUUGCGCACUUCUGAUUCGAAUGAAAACCAGUUUAAUUGCGACCUCCAACCUUGCCGUAAUGACGGAAAAAGAUCGGUCCAACAUCGACCAGAGUUCAUAGUUACCCCAUCAUCCUGUUUAAGGAACAUAUAACCAAAGCAUAUUUGAUUUUACUUGAAAACUAAUGACAAAAGUGUUUCUUCAAUAAAAAUUUACGUACUCUUCAAUACCCGCUAGUGUUUAUGAAUCUCUCAGCUGGAUAAAGUCCAGGGUUCUCAGGAAGGGGAGCAAGCAGUAAUCUUAGAAGCUGGAAUUAAGUCUACAGACGGUUAAUACGGCACCUAAUUUAUCCUAGUAUCUAUUAGCAGUUUCAUAAAAGCGCCUAGAAAGUUAAAUACACAAAAAUUGUCUAGUUAGGGGAGGAAUUUUAAAAUUUUUUGUUGCUCUUAGAUUCAGAAUUCGAAUCAUAUCCUUGACAGACAGGGGUAGGGAAGGGCAUGGGGAGCGUGCAAAGGGAUAGAAUCUAAAAAGUAGGAAAACAGUGAGAUUUAAAAAGUGAAAAAAGAACAGAGGUGGUAAGAUUUAAGAAAUGGGAAGGAAAAGGAGCACUCGAAUCCAAAAUCUUUACGCUUCGAAAUUUCAACUUUAACCAUUAGACCAAAACUCCUUAGCCAUUUAGUUUAUAACUUAUUUAUUAGUAGUAAUAUAAUUUCACAUGACAAAUAUUAAGGGAAAAGCUAGUGUAUUGAAAAAAUUUCUGAAGUCCCUUGCAUUUCCAUCGCUUUCUGCUAAAACUACUAAGGUGGAAGAAUUUCUGUACCGUGGGGGGAUGAUAGCUCCCCCCCCCCCUCCUCUCUCUUCAUUUCCUUCAUUGCUAAAACUCCCAAACGGAAGAAAUCACUUACAUUCCUUACGAGUGCCUUCUUUAUUCUCCAAAUCAGAUCUAAAAACUUGUGGAUUUAUAUUUAUGGCUUUCCCUCUAACUCCUUUAAAAUCUUCCAUUAAUGAUAACUUAGUGAGAUUACUAGUCUAAGGUACCUUCCGUCCUGGCCCUUCUCGUCCACCUAUAUAGUCGGACAUGCUUUGCGGGGAAAGACUGCACUUUAUAGUCCUGGCCCUUCUCGUCCACCUAAAGGUUGAAAUCUCCCCUUGAAUGAAAAAAAAAAAAAAAAAAAACCUUAUAUAUCAAAUAUUGUUCUUCGAUGACGUUGUUACUGAUGAAAUAAGGUAAUCCCACUAAAGUAAUAGCGAAAAGUAUUGCAACGUUCGUUCGGGGAAAGACUGAACCCAAAAUGAGCACGGACUAAAGCAUAAUCAGGGAUAAACCAGAUAUCAUCCACUCUUAACAGCAUUACAGACCAAGAGGAACAGAGUAUCACUUGCUUCACCACGAUGGAUGAAAAGACAAGCAUGAUGCCAUACUCAAUGGAGGAGCAAGCCUGUUACGUAGGAAAGCCACGAACAUACACACUCUAAUAGAAACUGUGUCAUAGCACGAAAACAUAGGUUUUUUCUUUUUUGGUCCAUUUUUCCUGGAAGAUUUGGUUUCUCAGGAAUCAUUUGGUUUG
rnacentral:lncRNA from 1 species